CUGCUGGCGGCAGGCCUAACACAUGCAAUGUCGAGCGGCAGCACGGGAAGCUUGCUUCCUGGCGGCGAGCGGCGGACGGGUGAGUAAUGCAUAGGAAUCUGCCCGGUAGUGGGGGAUAACCUGGGGAAACCCAAGCUAAUACCGCAUACGUCCUACGGGAGAAAGCAGGGUGCUCUUCGGACCUUGCGCUAUCGGAUGAGCCUAUGUCGGAUUAGCUAGUUGGUGAGGUAAAGGCUCACCAAGGCGACGAUCCGUAGCUGGUCUGAGAGGAUGAUCAGCCACAUCGGGACUGAGACACGGCCCGAACUCCUACGGGAGGCAGCAGUGGGGAAUAUUGGACAAUGGGCGCAAGCCUGAUCCAGCCAUGCCGCGUGUGUGAAGAAGGCCCUCGGGUUGUAAAGCACUUUCAGUGGGGAAGAAAGCCUCGCGGCUAAUAUCCGCGAGGAAGGACAUCACCCACAGAAGAAGCACCGGCUAACUCCGUGCCAGCAGCCGGGGUAAUACGGAGGGUGCGAGCGU
rnacentral:rRNA from 1 species